CUAUGACCGCGUUAAGGAUUGAAACGGCAUCCUUUUUGCAUUUUUUUUGCAAAAAGAUAUAGUUGAAAGCCUGACCGAUA
rnacentral:sRNA from 1 species